UGAUCUCAUAUGUGGAAUCACAGAAAUUAUGCAAUUUGUACUUCAUAGCUUAUACAUGCAUAUAGAUUUUGUUUUUACCAGAACCACGCUGGUAAAAACAGAUGCUGCACAAAGUUAACUUGCCCGUUUUCAUCGCACUUUAUGUGCACGAAUUCUGCCUCUACUCUCGACCUGGGACUCACCGAUGCGUAAGGAAGGACUGAAAAGCAAAAGAACUAUGGACUGGCCUUUUGGCAUGAUCAGGUGUCUAAUAUAAAGAAGUGCAUGAAUAAGAAAAUAUAUGAUAUGUGUGAUGGUUAAUACUGACUGUCAACUUGAUUGGAUUGAAGGAUGCAAAGUAUUGAUCCUGGGUGUGUCUGUGAGGGUGUUGCCAAAGGAGAUUAACAUUUGAGUCAGUGGCCUGGGAAAGGCCGACCCACUGUUAAUCUAGAUGGACACCAUCUAAUCAGGUGCCAGUGCAGCUAGAAAUGUAAAGCAGACAGAAAAAUGCGAAAGGAGAGACUGGCCUAGCCUCCCAGCCUACAUCUGUCUCCCACGCGGGAUGCUUCCUGCCCUCGAACAUCGGACUCCAAGUUCUUCAGUUUGGGACUUGGACUGGCUCUCCUUGCUCCUCAGCUUGAAGACUGCCCAUUGUGGGACUUGUGAUCAUAGGUGGAGCACCCAUCCAGUGAGGCUGUGAGGAAGGCCAUAUACCAAGAAUAGGAGAAAGCUAGAAGGAGCCCAUACCUCUGACUGCCCUCGACUGCCCACGCAAGAACUCAUGCUGGAAAAACAAAGCCCUGUUUAGGUGCCAUGAUAAAUAAGCCAGUUUGAGUCACUUGGUCUAAUAUCGAGACCAUGAACAUAUUGAUCACAGAAUGUGUUAGGUAAGCGUGUUGUUGACUGAAGUGUAAGUAAGGUGCUCACCUUAAAUGCAUGUGCCAACAUCAGCAUCUUCAGAAGAGUCUCUUUCCCUUUGGGACAUCGAGGUGACUGACAGUUAAACAAGCCGUAUUUGGAGUAGGUGUACAAUCAGCCUCCUUCCAGUUCUCCUUGGCACUUUCCAGUUCACAAAGGACAGUUAGGGCUUCACUCCUUUUUGGUUUUUUGAGACAGGGUCUCACUCUGUCACCCAGGCUAGAGUACAGUGGUGAGAUCACCCCUCACUGCAACCUCCGUCUCCUGGGCUCAAGUGAUCCUCCCACCUCAGCCUCCCAAGUAGCUGGUACCACAGGUGCAUGCCACCACACCUGGCUGAUUUUUGUAUUUUGUGUAGAGGGGGGUAUUGCCCUAUCACCUAGGCUGGAAGGCUGUUAAGAGGAGAACUGAGCAAUGAGGAUCCCAUCCUGGACUUUGCAGACUUGCUGUGCUUUUGAAUGCUUCUCUCAUGGUCAGAGCCUGCACUGGAAAAGAUGGCAUUUGGGACAACACACCUGGCUGCUGCCCCAGGAAGAAAGUAGUGAACACUGGAGGACUGUCAGCCCUGUCAGUUUCUGGAAAUGUGCCCUGAGUUUAAGUUCUGGUUUCAGAUUAUGAGGAGCAAAAUUACUGAGUAGGCCUCCUCCUAGAACAGGAAGCUCUUCCCGCCGUGGGCCAGUGGCUCUGACAUAUCACAGAGCCUGCUCUGAUGAAGGCAGCAGGAAUGAUUUCAAAACAAGCAAAACCAAAGAAAACUGUUUGACAAUGGAAGUAAUAGAGGCUCAUUUUAGAAAACAUAGACAUAAAGAAAAAAAGAAGAAUCUUCCAUAACCCACAGAUUAUAACUACUUACAUACCU